rnacentral:ncRNA from 1 species
AAAAAGUUUGAUUUUAGCUUAAUUAUUUAUUGAAUAAUUAUUUUGCAUGUUAAUUUUUGUGAGUAUAUUAUUUAUUUUGAAAAAAUUUAUAAUUAAUACAAUAUAAUUGCAGCAUUUUAUUUUAAUAAUUAAAAAAAUUUAGAAUUAUUAAUUUAUUUUAAUUUAGGCAAAAAUUGUGCCAGCAGCUGCGGUUAAACAAUUUAUGUUAAUAAAUAUUAUUAAUUUAUAAAUUUAAUAUUAUUUUAAUUUUAUUGAAUAUUUUAAUAAUUAAGUGAAAUUUUUAUUAAUAUUAUAGUUUUAAUUUUAUUAUUUAAUUUGUGAAAUCUAAAAAAUAAACUAGGAUUAGAUACCCUAUUAUUUUAGAAUUAAAUUUAAAAUGUUAAGAAUUAAUAGAUAAGUUCUUUAAACUUAAAAAAAUUGGCGGUAUUUAACUCUAAUUAGGGGAAUUUGUUUAUUAAUUGAUAUUCCUCAAACUACCUUACUUUAAUUUUUAAUUUGUUUAUUGUCGUUAACAAAAUAUUUUAUAAGAAUAUAUAAUUUUUUAGAUUUUUUAAAAAAGAUUAUUUCAGAUCAUUAUGCAGUUAUAUUAAAGUUUAAAUGAAUUACAAUAAUAUUAAUUUAUAUGGAUUUUUAAUUGAAAUUAUUAGAUUGAAAGUGGACUUAAUAGUAAGAUUAAAUAAUUAUUAUGUUAAUUUGAAUUGAGAAUUAAAUAUGUACAUAUUGCCCGUCACUCUCAUUUUAAAAUGAGAUAAGUCGUAACAAAGUAAGUGUAUUGGAAAAUGUACUUAGUAAGU